rnacentral:rRNA from 1 species
AAUGAACGCUAGCGGUAUGCUUUACACAUGCAAGUUGUACGCAAUUUUUAAAGUUGAGUAGCGCACUGGUGAGUAAUACAAGAGAAUCUAAGCUUGGUUUGGAAUAGAAAGUGGGAAGGGUUAAACUUAGUACGCUUUGAAUACCAAAUAUAUAAAACUUUCAGGUUUUAUUUAAAAGAAUUUAUUUUCGCCGAGUACGAGCUCUUGUAAGAUUAGGUAGUUGGUAGCGGUAAUGGCCUACCAAGCCGAAGAUCUUUAGUUGUCCUGAGAGGGAGCACAACCACCCUGGGACUGAAACAAGGCCCAGCCUUCUUUAGGCAGCAGUGGGGAAUCUUGGACAAUUAGCGCAAGCUAGAUCCAGCAAUACCGCGUGAGUAAUGAAGGCAGUUUUGGUCGUAACAUUCUUUCGCUAUUGAAUAUAAUGAAAGUAAAUAGAUAAGAAGCCCCGGCUAACUUCGUGCCAGCAGCCGCAGUAAAAC